rnacentral:rRNA from 1 species
CCUACGGGGUGCAGCAGUAGGGAAUUUUCGGCAAUGGGGGGAACCCUGACCGAGCAACGCCGCGUGAACGAAGAAGUUAUUCGUAAUGUAAAGUUCUUUUAACAGGGAAGAAAGAGAAAUUUGACGGUACCUGAAGAAUAAGCUCCGGCUAACUACGUGCCAGCAGCCGCGGUAAUACGUGGGAGCGAGCGUUUAUCGGAAUUAUUGGGCGGAAAGGGUGGGUAGAUGGCAUAGUAAGGCUGUUGUAAAAAUGCUGGGUUCAACCCAGUAGGGCAAAAGAUACCGCAAAGGUAGAGUAUGACAGAGGCAAGUGGAACUACAUGUGUAGCGGUAAAAUGCGUAAAUAUAUGUAAGAACACCAGUGGCGAAGGCGGCUUGCUGGGUCGAUACUGACAUUGAGGCACGAAAGCGUGGGGAGCAAACAGGAUUAGAUACCCCUGUAGUC